rnacentral:rRNA from 1 species
CAGCAGCCGCCGCGGUAAUACGGAGGGGGCUAGCGUUGUUCGGAAUUACUGGGCGUAAAGCGCACGUAGGCGGCUUGGUAAGUUAGAGGUGAAAGCCUGGAGCUCAACUCCAGAAUUGCCUUUAAGACUGCCGAGCUAGCAGGUGAGAGAGGUAAGUGGAAUUCCGAGUGUAGAGGUGAAAUUCGUAGAUAUUCGGAAGAACACCAGUGGCGAAGGCGGCUUACUGGCUCAUACUGGACACUGAGGUGCGAAAGCGUGGGGAGCAAACAGGAUUAGAUACCCCUGUAGUCCCUGUCUCUUAUAC